rnacentral:rRNA from 1 species
CCAGCAGCUGCGGUAAUUCCAGCUCCAAUAGCGUAUAUUUAAGUUGUUGCAGUUAAAAAGCUCGUAUUUGGAUUUCGGGUGGGGUGGUGCGGUCCGCCUCAGGUGUGCACUGCUCCGCUCCACCUUCCUGCCGGGGAUGGGCUCCUGGGCUUAACUGUUCGGGACUCGGAGUCGGCGAUGUUACUUUGAGUAAAUUAGAGUGUUCAAAGCAGGCCUACGCUCUGAAUACAUUAGCAUGGAAUAGCACGAUAGGACUCUGGCCUAUCUGUUGGUCUGUGGGACCGGAGUAAUGAUUAAGAGGGACAGUCGGGGGCAUUCGUAUUCCAUUGUCAGAGGUGAAAUUCUUGGAUUUAUGGAAGACGAACAUCUGCGAAAGCAUUUGCCAAGGAUGUUUUCAUUGAUCAAGAACGAAAGU